rnacentral:tRNA from 1 species
GUUGGGGUGGAGCUCAGUGGUAAAUUGUGUGCUUAUCGCAUGUAAAGUCCUGGGUUCAAUUCCCAGCCAGUACC